rnacentral:rRNA from 1 species
AUUGAACGCUGGCGGCAUGCCUAACACAUGCAAGUCGAACGGCAGCACAGCAUGUAGCAAUACAUGUGGGUGGCGAGUGGCGGACGGGUGAGUAACGCGUGGGAAUCUGCCCUAUAGUGGGGGGACAACCCGACGAAAGUCGGGCUAAUACCGCAUACGCCCUACGGGGAAAGGCUUCGGCCGCUAUUGGAUGAGCCCGCGUCGGAUUAGCUAGUUGGUGAGGUAAUGGCUCACCAAGGCGACGAUCCGUAGCUGGUCUGAGAGGACGAUCAGCCACACUGGGACUGAGACACGGCCCAGACUCCUACGGGAGGCAGCAGUGGGGAAUAUUGCACAAUGGGCGAAAGCCUGAUGCAGCAAUGCCGCGUGUGUGAAGAAGGCCUGAGGGUUGUAAAGCACUUUCAAUCAUGAAGAAAAGUUGCAGGCUAAUACCCUGUGACCUUGACGUUAACGAUACAAGAAGCACCGGCU